GAUGAACGCUGGCGGCGUGCCUAAUACAUGCAAGUCGAGCGAACAGACGAGGGGCUUGCUCCUCUGACGUUAGCGGCGGACGGGUGAGUAACACGUGGAUAACCUACCUAUAAGACUGGGAUAACUACGGGAAACCGGCGCUAAUACCGGAUAAUAUAUUGAACAGCAUGGUUCAAUAGUGAAAUACGGUUUUUCUGUCACUUAUAGAUGGAUCCGCGCCGCAUUAGCUAGUUGGUAAGGUAACGGCUUACCAAGGCGACGAUGCGUAGCCGCCCUGAGAGGGUGAUUGGCCACAUGGGAACUGAGACACGGUCCAGACUCUGACGGGAGGCAGCAGUAGGGAAUCUUACGGAAUGGGGGAGAGCCGGACGGAGCAACGCGGCGUGAGUGAUGAAGGUCUUCGGAUCGUAAAACUAUGUUAUUAGGGAAGAACAAAUGUGUAAGUAACUAUGCACGUCUUGACGGUACCUAAUCAGAAAGCCACGGCUAACUACGUG
rnacentral:rRNA from 1 species